UACCAGAGCCCGGGACGCCGCUGUAGAAAUGGCAUUGCCCACCCCGAAAGUGAGAAGGUGCAGACUUCUUCUGUGAGCUUCCUCUUGUCUAACUGGACACGGCAGAGGCUUGGCUGUUGGUAACUCGCGCGCUGGAGACACUGUGUGGACGGUGGGCCAGCCCUGGUCUGGGGAUGCAGCAUCGAGACGCAAGUUGCGGGAGGUCAGAGAUUUGCCCGUGUCGUUCGCUGCUGUAUCCCCUGCGUGGAGAACAGUGCCUGUCACGUCCGGCCUUAGUACAUAGUUUUGAAUGGACGGUUCCUGACGAGCGGGGGAUCUGAAAACCACCACAUUUCUUCCUAUUGUAAAGUAAGUGUCUUAUGUUUAUU